AACGAACGCUGGCGGCAUGCCUAACACAUGCAAGUCGAACGAGACCUUCGGGUCUAGUGGCGCACGGGUGCGUAACGCGUGGGAACCUGCCCUUAGGUUCGGAAUAACUCCCCGAAAGGGGUGCUGUUACCGGAUAAUGUCUUCGGACCAAAGAUUUAUCGCCUUUGGAAGGGCCCGCGUUGGAUUAGCUAGUUGGUAGGGUAAAAGCCUACCAAGGCGACGAUCCAUAGCUGGUCUGAGAGGAUGAUCAGCCACACUGGGACUGAGACACGGCCCAGACUCCUACGGGAGGCAGCAGUGGGGAAUAUUGGACAAUGGGCGAAAGCCUGAUCCAGCAAUGCCGCGUGAGUGAUGAAGGCCUUAGGGUUGUAAAGCUCUUUUACCCGGGAUGAUAAUGACAGUACCGGGAGAAUAAGCUCCGGCUAACUCCGUG
rnacentral:rRNA from 1 species